rnacentral:rRNA from 1 species
CGCUGGCGGCGUGCCUAACACAUGCAAGUCGAGCGAGGAGAUUCCUUCGGGAUGAUCCUAGCGGCGGACGGGUGAGUAACACGUGGGCAACCUGCCUCAUAGAGAGGAAUAGCCUUCCGAAAGGGAGAUUAAUACCUCAUAACAUUGCAGUUUCGCAUGGAACAGCAAUUAAAGGAGUAAUCCGCUAUGAGAUGGGCCCGCGGCGCAUUAGCUAGUUGGUGAGGUAAUGGCUCACCAAGGCGACGAUGCGUAGCCGACCUGAGAGGGUGAUCGGCCACAUUGGGACUGAGACACGGCCCAGACUCCUACGGGAGGCAGCAGUGGGGAAUAUUGCACAAUGGGGGAAACCCUGAUGCAAGCAACGCCGCGUGAGUGAUGACGGCCUUCGGGUUGUAAAGCUCUGUCUUCAGGGACGAUAAUGACGGUACCUGAGGAGGAAGCCACGGCUAACUACGUGCCAGCAGCCGC